AUGACCCUGACCGUCGUGAACCCGAUCUGGCCGGGCAUCCAGGGGAACACCGGCAGUGAGGUCCUGGAGGGGGCAGCUUCUUCCUCCCGUCGCUCUCCCACCGCUCCUUCCCGGCGCCCACCCACGCCUGGUCCAGCCGCAUCUGGGCGCGCACCGGCUGCGCGACAGGCGACUGCGACGGGCGGCUCCAGUUCUCCACCGCAGGUCUCCCUCCACCACGGCGGCAACGAGCAAUCGUCCUACGGGGUGAGCGUGGUGGACGGCUUCAACGUGGGCCUCUCCGUGACCCCGCACAAGGGCCGCGACAACUGCCCCGUCUUGGCCUGCUGCAAGGACCUGACCCAGAGCUGCCCGGGCGAGCUGCCUGUGCGUACAUGA
rnacentral:rRNA from 1 species